CUGAAUAUAAGUAGUUAAGUUCUUCAUAACUCAAAGAAUUUGGCGGUUAAUUUUAACUUCAGAGGAACCUGUGUAUUAAUUGAUAAACCACGAUAAUUUCUACCUUUUCUUAGUUUGUAUACCUCUAUACAUAAGAAUGUUUUUGAAAAAUAAUUUUCUUUAAAAUUAAAUAAAAAUAUUAGGUCAAGGUGCAGCUUUAAAAUGGUUUACAUGUGUUACUUUAGUUUUAAAUUUUAAUUUAAUUAAAUUAUAUUUAUUUUUGUGUUAGGAUUUGAUAGUAAUUUAAUUUAAUUUUUUUUUUUGAAUAAA
rnacentral:rRNA from 1 species